AGAGUUUGAUCCUGGCUCAGGAUGAACGCUAGCGAUAGGCUUAACACAUGCAAGUCGAGGGGCAGCAUGAUCUUAGCUUGCUAAGGUUGAUGGCGACCGGCGCACGGGUGCGUAACGCGUAUGCAACUUGCCUUACAGAGGGGGAUAACCCGUUGAAAGACGGACUAAAACCGCAUACACUUGUAUUAUUGCAUGAUAUUACAAGGAAAUAUUUAUAGCUGUAAGAUAGGCAUGCGUCCCAUUAGCUUGUUGGUGAGGUAACGGCUCACCAAGGCGACGAUGGGUAGGGGAACUGAGAGGUUUAUCCCCCACACUGGUACUGAGACACGGACCAGACUCCUACGGGAGGCAGCAGUGAGGAAUAUUGGUCAAUGGGCGAGAGCCUGAACCAGCCAAGUCGCGUGAAGGAAGACUGUCCUAAGGAUUGUAAACUUCUUUUAUACGGGAAUAACGGGCGAUACGAGUAUUGCAUUGAAUGUACCGUAAGAAUAAGCAUCGGCUAACUCCGUGCCAGCAGCCGCGGUAAUACGGAGGAUGCGAGCGUUAUCCGGAUUUAUUGGGUUUAAAGGGUGCGUAGGUUGUUCGGUAAGUCAGCGGUGAAACCUGAGCGCUCAACGUUCAGCCUGCCGUUGAAACUGCCGGGCUUGAGUUCAGUGGCGGCAGGCGGAAUUCGUGGUGUAGCGGUGAAAUGCAUAGAUAUCACGAGGAACUCCGAUUGCGAAGGCAGCUUGCCAUACUGCGACUGACACUGAAGCACGAAGGCGUGGGUAUCAAACAGGAUUAGAUACCCUGGUAGUCCACGCAGUAAACGAUGAUUACUAGGAGUUUGCGAUAUACCGUCAAGCUUCCACAGCGAAAGCGUUAAGUAAUCCACCUGGGGAGUACGCCGGCAACGGUGAAACUCAAAGGAAUUGACGGGGGCCCG
rnacentral:rRNA from 1 species